rnacentral:rRNA from 1 species
GCAAUUGGAGGGCAAGUCUGGUGCCAGCAGCCGCGAUAAUUCCAGCUCCAAUAGCGUAUAUUAAAGUUGUUGCAGUUAAAAAGCUCGUAGUUGAAUUUCGGGGUUAGUAGGUUGGUCAUGCCUCUGGUAUGUACUGGUCUCACUGAUUCCUCCUUCCUGAUGAACCGUAAUGCCAUUAAUUUGGUGUUGCGGGGAAUUUGGACUGUUACUUUGAAAAAAUUAAAGUGUUUAAAGCAAGCUAACGCUUGAAUACAUUAGCAUGGAAUAAUGAAAUAGGACGUUCGAUCCUAUUUUGUUGGUUUCUAGGAUUGACGUAAUGAUUAAUAGGGAUAGUUGGGGGCAUUAGUAUUCAAUUGUCAGAGGUGAAAUUCUUGGAUUUAUUGAAGACUAACUACUGCGAAAGCAUUUGCCAAGGAUGUUUUCAUUAAUCAAGAACGAAAGUUAGGGGAU